UACGUAGGGAGCGAGCGUUGUCCGGAUUCAUUGGGCGUAAAGAGCGUGUAGGCGGCUGGGUAGGUCCGUUGUGAAAACUCGAGCUCAACCUCGAGACGCCGAUGGAAACCCUCCAGCUAGAGUCCGGAAGAGGAGAGUGGAAUUCCUGGUGUAGCGGUGAAAUGCGCAGAUAUCAGGAAGAACACCCGUGGCUAAGGCGGCUCUCUAGUACGGUACUGACGCUGAGACGCGAAAGCGUGGGGAGCGAACAGG
rnacentral:rRNA from 1 species